CGAACGGGUGAGUAACACGUGGGCAAUCUGCCCUGCACUCUGGGACAAGCCCUGGAAACGGGGUCUAAUACCGGAUAUGACUGUCCGCCGCAUGGUGGAUGGUGUAAAGCUCCGGCGGUGCAGGAUGAGCCCGCGGCCUAUCAGCUUGUUGGUGAGGUAGUGGCUCACCAAGGCGACGACGGGUAGCCGGCCUGAGAGGGCGACCGGCCAUACUGGGACUGAGACAGUCUCCAGACUAAUACGGGAGGCAGCAGUGGGGAAUAUUGCACAAUGGGCGAAAGCCUGAUGCAGCGACGCCGCGUGAGGGAUGACGGCCUUCGGGUUGUAAACCUCUUUCAGCAGGGAAGAAGCGAAAGUGACGGUACCUGCAGAAGAAGCGCCGGCUAACUACGUGCCAGCAGCCGCGGUAAUACGUAGGGCGCAAGCGUUGUCCGGAAUUAUUGGGCGUAAAGAGCUCGUAGGCGGCUUGUCACGUCGGUUGUGAAAGCCCGGGGCUUAACCCCGGGUCUGCAGUCGAUACGGGCAGGCUAGAGUUCGGUAGGGGAGAUCGGAAUUCCUGGUGUAGCGGUGAAAUGCGCAGAUAUCAGGAGGAACACCGGUGGCGAAGGCGGAUCUCUGGGCCGAUACUGACGCUGAGGAGCGAAAGCGUGGGGAGCGAACAGGAUUAGAUACCCUGGUAGUCCACGCCGUAAACGGUGGGCACUAGGUGUGGGCAACAUUCCACGUUGUCCGUGCCGCAGCUAACGCAUUAAGUGCCCCGCCUGGGGAGUACGGCCGCAAGUUUAAAACUCAAAGGAAUUGACGGGGGCCCGCACAAGCGGGGGAGCAUGUGGCUUAAUUCGACGCACGGGAAGAACCUUACCAAGGCUUGACAUACACCGGAAACGUUUGGAGAAAGGCCCCCCCUUGUGGUCGGUGUACAGGUGGUGCAUGGCUGUCGUCAGCUCGUGUCGUGAGAUGUUGGGUUAAGUCCCGCAACGAGCGCAACCCUUGUCCCGUGUUGCCAGCAGGCCCUUGUGGUGCUGGGGACUCACGGGAGACCGCCGGGGUCAACUCGGAGGAAGGUGGGGACGACGUCAAGUCAUCAUGCCCCUUAUGUCUUGGGCUGCACACGUGCUACAAUGGCCGGUACAAUGAGCUGCGAUACCGUGAGGUGGAGCGAAUCUCAAAAAGCCGGUCUCAGUUCGGAUUGGGGUCUGCAACUCGACCCCAUGAAGUCGGAGUCGCUAGUAAUCGCAGAUCAGCAUUGCUGCGGUGAAUACGUUCCCGGGCCUUGUACACACCGCCCGUCACGUCACGAAAGUCGGUAACACCCGA
rnacentral:rRNA from 1 species